rnacentral:tRNA from 1 species
CAGGGGUAGCUCAGCAGGCAGAGCGGCGGACUGAAAAUCCGGCGGGUGCGGGUUCAACUCCCGCCCCCUGC